CGCUCGCUUUUCCCUCCAGCUACACUUGGCUCCUCUUCCCUGGGGCGUCCGAGGAGGAGGAGGCUCUCGCUCGCCUCGUGGAGCAGCUCGCCCGCGAGGGAGUCUGGUUGCGGCGUGCGAGGGGGGGGAUCGGUGGGGGAGUGGUUGUGUCCCCCGAAAUCGACGGAGGAAAAGCAGGGCGGCUGAAAGGCCUCGUGAGAAGGGAGUUGGGCUGUGACUUUGUGACGUGUGACGAAGAAAUCAUCUGGAGAGUGAGAUUUUAAAUAGUGCGAUGCCAGAAGCAGCCAAGGAGAGGUGCCAGUGCUGAGCUUUGCUAUGCUGGGGAUUUUGACCUCUGCCUUGGUCGUAGCUCCAACAUGUUACAAUAUUUUUUUGCAUUUUUGAAACAUGCAUCCUGUCUAUAAAAUGUGUAGAGUUACAUGUACAUUGUACAUAUGCAGGUAAUAUUUACUUAAAAUACACUUUGCAAAGGUA